UGCAGCCCUAGCCUCAAUCCACAGCCGCCAUGCCCUCACUCCUCCUCCUCGCUACCACUCCCUUCCUGCUCCUCCUCGCGGCCGCACUCUCUCCCUCCUCACCACGGCACCCAUAGGCGGCUCCCUCCUCACCAUGGCCCCACCAUAGGCGGCUCCCUCCUCACCAUGGCCCCACCAUAGGCGGCUCAUGCGGUGGUGGAACGGACGGCGGCCUCAGCGUGUGGGCGGCGGCGGCGGCGUAUCUGGUGAACGAGCCCGCACCUCCCUGCCCUCCUCAUCACCCCUUCCCUCCUCGGCUUAAUGGGAGGUUCGCCGGGCAUGCCGCCUCUUCUGCCCAGCAGGACGAGCACGAG
rnacentral:rRNA from 1 species